rfam:Salmo salar isolate Sally breed double haploid chromosome ssa05, whole genome shotgun sequence.
UGGCUCAGUUGGUAGAGCAUGGUGUCUGCAACGCCAGGGUUGUGGGUUUGAUUCCCAC